AAGACUGUUAUGGUGGAAGGAAGAUGGAAAACUUUCUGUGAUGAUAGUGAAGCUAAAGCUGGAUGAGGAUUACCUCAAAAGUAUAUAUGGGCACACUGCUGCCUCCUCUGAGGAAAAAAAAUGUUUAUUGGAGCACCUAAGGUGUCAGCUUCUUCAUGUAUUGGCGACCCCAAGACAAGGUACAAGGUUUCAGCCUGAUGGCAACGACUAAAAAAUCCAUGCCGACCUAUGGACCCUGCCAAAAAAAAUGUUCCAUGUGAACUUGAGUUUGCAAGGCCCUUGUUUUCAGUCCCAAAUACUCCGCGUUCUGAGAAAGGACAUCUGUGAUAAGAUGGAAAUUGGCACUGGUAACUCAUGUACUAUGGGUGAAGCAUGCUCAAAAGAGGCAGACCCAGAGGUAAUUUUUCAUCAAAGAACUUUUUAAAGCCAUUAUUAAAACUAGCAUAAAUUUCCUCCGUUGCUGGCAGCUUCAACAGGCAGGACAGGAUUGAUUUGGAUAUGGCAGCUCAAUUUAAUUUUUUUUUUUUUUCUAUUUAUAUGUA